CUCUCUCUCUCUCUCUCUCUCUCUCCCGCCUAUGUUGAAAACGUGGAAAAUGAUAAUCACAGGAAUAAGGAAAAGAAAUAUUCUGUAUUUCGUGACAACAAUUUCUUAUUCAAGGUCUGUGAAAUAUGCAGGUUUAUCAUCCUAAUAUUGACUUGGAGGGGAAUGUCUGCCUCAAUAUACUCCGUGAAGAUUGGAAACCUGUUCUUAACAUUAACACCGUUAUCUACGGAUUGUAUCACCUUUUUACCGAGCCAAAUUAUGAGGAUCCUCUCAAUCACGAUGCAGCUGCAGUGCUGAGAGAUAAUCCAAAGAUGUUUCAAUCGAACGUACGAAAGGCUAUGAUGGGUGGAUACGUGGGGCAAACGCACUUCCAGCGGUGUAUGUAGUAACAUUUGAAGGUGCUCAUUGUAAAUUUCGACUUAAAAAUUUCAGUGUCAUCUUUCGACCAUUUCUUUAUAGCUGGGACAUCGGUGUGCAAAAUGUAUGCUCAUAACUUACUGAAUCUUAUGGCCUUGAUUUGCUAGUUUUACCAUGUUAAACAAGAAUCAGCUUGUUCUAAGAUUUACUCCCAUUUAUUUAUGAAAUCUGUUUCUUCUACA